rnacentral:rRNA from 1 species
AAACGUAGGUGGCAAGCGUUGUCCGGAAUUACUGGGUGUAAAGGGAGCGCAGGCGGGGUGCCAAGUUGGGUGUGAAAACUAUGGGCUCAACCCAUAGCAUGCACUCAAAACUGGCGCUCUUGAGUGAUGGAGAGGCAGGCGGAAUUCCCGGUGUAGCGGUGGAAUGCGUAGAUAUCGGGAGGAACACCAGUGGCGAAGGCGGCCUGCUGGACAUUAACUGACGCUGAGGCUCGAAAGUGUGGGGAGCAAACAGGAUUAGAUACCCUGGUAGUCCACACCGUAAACGAUGAUUACUAGGUGUGGGGGGAUAGACCCCCUCCGUGCCGCAGCUAACGCAAUAAGUAAUCCACCUGGGGAGUACGGUCGCAAGACUGAA